rnacentral:rRNA from 1 species
UACGUAGGGUGCAAGCGUUGUCCGGAAUUAUUGGGCGUAAAGAGCUCGUAGGCGGUUUGUCGCGUCGGCUGUGAAAACCUGGGGCUUAACCCCGAGCCUGCAGUGGAUACGGGCAGACUAGAGGUAGGUAGGGGAGAAUGGAAUUCCCGGUGUAGCGGUGAAAUGCGCAGAUAUCGGGAGGAACACCGGUGGCGAAGGCGGUUCUCUGGGCCUUACCUGACGCUGAGGAGCGAAAGCGUGGGGAGCGAACAGG